rnacentral:rRNA from 1 species
AUUACCAGAGUGCCUUUUGGCUCUCCAACCCACUGUGAACAUACCUACGUUUCCCUCGGCGGGCUCAGCGCGUUGCGGUUCCGCCGCCUCGCGUCCGCCGGGGGCACCCAAACUCGAAUUUACAUCGUGUAUCUCUGAGGGGCGAAAGCCCGUAAAACAAAUGAAUCAAAACUUUCAACAACGGAUCUCUUGGCUCUGGCAUCGAUGAAGAACGCAGCGAAAUGCGAUAAGUAAUGUGAAUUGCAGAAUUCAGUGAAUCAUCGAAUCUUUGAACGCACAUUGCGCCCGCCGGCACUCCGGCGGGCAUGCCUGUCCGAGCGUCAUUUCAACCCUCGGGCCCACCCCUCGCGGGGAACGGGCCCGGCGUUGGGGACCGGAGGCCGCCCCGGCGGCACCCGCCCCCUAAAUUCAGUGGCGGUCGCGCCGCAGCCUCCCCUGCGUAGUAGCACACCUCGCACCGGAGAGCGGCACGGCCACGCCUCGAAACCCCCCAAUUUUUCAGGUUGACCUCGGAUCAGGUAGGAAUACCCGCUGAACUUAAGCAUAUCAAUAAGCGGAGGAAAAGAAACCAACAGGGAUUGCCUCAGUAACGGCGAGUGAAGCGGCAACAGCUCAAAUUUGAAAUCUGGCCGCAAGGUCCGAGUUGUAAUUUGUAGAGGAUGCUUUUGGCGAGGUGACUUCCGAGUUCCCUGGAACGGGACGCCAUAGAGGGUGAGAGCCCCGUACGGUCGUGCCACCGAGCCUCUGUAAAGCUCCUUCGACGAGUCGAGUAGUUUGGGAAUGCUGCUCUAAAUGGGAGGUGUACGUCUUCUAAAGCUAAAUACCGGCCAGAGACCGAUAGCGCACAAGUAGAGUGAUCGAAAGAUGAAAAGCACUUUGAAAAGAGGGUUAAAAAGUACGUGAAAUUGUUGAAAGGGAAGCAUUCAUGACCAGACUUGGGCUUGGUUGAACAUCCGGCGUUCUCGCCGGUGCACUCUGCCAGCUCAGGCCAGCAUCAGUUUGCCCCGGGGGACAAAGGCGGCGGGAAUGUGGCUCCCUACGGGGAGUGUUAUAGCCCGUCGUGUAAUGCCCUGGGGUGGACUGAGGUCGC